rnacentral:rRNA from 1 species
UACGUAGGGUGCGAGCGUUAAUCGGAAUUACUGGGCGUAAAGCGUGCGCAGGCGGUGAUGUAAGACCGAUGUGAAAUCCCCGGGCUCAACCUGGGAACUGCAUCUGUGACUGCAUAGCUAGAGUACGGUAGAGGGGGAUGGAAUUCCGCGUGUAGCAGUGAAAUGCGUAGAUAUGCGGAGGAACACCGAUGGCGAAGGCAAUCCCCUGGACCUGUACUGACGCUCAUGCACGAAAGCGUGGGGAGCAAACAGG